GUCCUUGAUUGUCCCUGUCUUUGCCCACCAUGUUGUGCAGCAGACUUGGACUCUGAUCACAACCUACUGAUCAUGCAAAAACAUUGACAUGGCCCCACUUGUAUACGACCUAAAUAAACAAAUAUAGUGACUUAAUUGGGCGGGGCUCAAGUCAUUCUAGUUUUUUAAUCUUUCCCCACAAAUGCUGCCAUAUUGAGUGAUGUCAAACCUAACGUUACUUCUCGGAGCUCUCAAACUGCAUUUGAUUGUGAAAGUAGAGGCAAGUUUUUUCCAUCCUUUGUCCCUCCCUUCAUGAGUCCUGUUUUAAAUACAGAGCAAGCUUAGUUGGGAGAAGAGCAUCUCCUUCUUGAAUGCACCAGUGACUUCCAUUAGCCAGACGGUGACAACCACAGCGUCUUUUUUACUUGAAGAGGUCUUCGAAAAUACAGAAUUACAGGAAUGGACAGUCAAAGCAGAGCUGUGUUUGCAGUCAUCACAGUGAUGGCGUACAUGGGGAUGGGAGCUGAGGCACAGAACACAGCAGGCUCAGGAAUCAUCUCAAGGGCAAAUUGUGGAAUCACAAAGUUCUGCGCUUCUCAGCCAGAAGGCUGUGACCCAUCUGUGUCUGGAUCCUGUUUCUUCGUCUCAGCCAGUUUAAACUCGGGACAGAACUUUUCAUUCCAGCUUCAAGGACAAUCCAACUUCUACGUCGCUCUAGUGUUGUCCACAACCUUUAUAAUGUUUCCUGCAAACUUAACAAUGGGACAAAUUGACUUCUAUGCGUGUUAUAACAUCAACUACAUCAGCAACAUCAGCAACAUAAUUUCCACACUUGGAAUAACGAUUCCUAACGUGCUGCCCUCUAACCUGGUGAUGGGCUCAGUCAGUGGUCAGACCAUCCAGUGCAUCUUCUCUGCUAUAGUCCCCAAUGCUACUUCCACCAAGAGCAGCAGUACCUCCUUUUUCAUUUCCAUCUACAACGGGACCGUGAUUAAUGGAGUCCCAGGUAUUCCUAAGCUUGUCUAUGUGAGUACUGCAGCCGUGGACCUGUCCAACCCCACCGCCACUGCAACCAACAGUGGUCUACAGCGCACCCUGUCUCAAGCUCUGCUGAUCCUGCUUGGUGGACUAGUUUUCAUCAUGCUGUAAUGUGGAUCUCAGUAGUAAACCACUUCACAUUCCGGAAUUCUGGACCUCUAUGGUUACUGAAGCCAACCAGUCUGGGUUCCCAAGAAUGAAACUAUUUUGAGCAGGGGUAGUAAAGGGUAGUAAGACAUUAGCCUACAGAAUUAAUCCAGUAAUAUAAGUUUAAUGUUGUGUUUACAGUCAAGGCCUUUUCAGGUACAUUAAGCAUUGUUCAACCUCAUUACCUCCAGGAUUACCCCAACAUCAACACGUGUUAAAUUUUGUGACCACAAAACAUAAAAGCCUAGAUUAUAUUGAUGUUGUAUUGAGAAAAUGAAAAUGAGGUAUACACCUAAAACAUCCACCAUGUGUAAUUAUUUGUUUGAGCCCAGUCAUCUUUUACUUCAUCUUACCUGAUGUCCAGUUAUGAAGGAGGACAAUUUUGUCAGAGUGUGUGUGUGUGUGUGUGCAUGGAGUGUAAAUAUUUGCUACAUAUUUGUGUCUAAUGAUGCCACAAGUUGGCAGAAACUGAUACUUGUGUGUUUGUUCUUCAUGAUUUCCCUUCAUGAUUGAAGUUUGAAAUGUAUUUAAUAAGCCUCCUUAGUCUGGAUCCGCGGAUGGAGCCCUCUGUGCACAUUUGCAUAAUAUAAAAAAUACUAUAAUCACUAGAAUCAUGUUUUUUUUAUAGA
ensembl:lncRNA